UACGUAGGGUCCGAGCGUUGUCCGGAAUUACUGGGCGUAAAGAGCUCGUAGGUGGUUUGUCGCGUUGUUCGUGAAAACUCACAGCUCAACUGUGGGCGUGCGGGCGAUACGGUCAGACUAGAGUACUGCAGGGGAGACUGGAAUUCCUGGUGUAGCGGUGGAAUGCGCAGAUAUCAGGAGGAACACCGAUGGCGAAGGCAGGUCUCUGGGCAUUAACUGACGCUGAGGAGCGAAAGCAUGGGGAGCGAACAGG
rnacentral:rRNA from 1 species